GAUGGUCUCGAUCUCCUGACCUCGUGAUCUGCCCGCCUCGGCCUCCCAAGGUGCUGGGAUUACAGGCAUGAGCCACAGUGCCCGGCCAAUUUUUGUAUUUUUAGUAGAGACGGGUUUCACCAUGUUGGCCAGGCUGGUCACGAAAUCCUGACCUCAGGUGAUCCAUCCACCUCGGCCUUCCAAAAUGCUUGGCUUACAGGCAUGAGCCACCAUGCCCGGCCCCCAUCUCUUUAAAUACAUAAAAAUUGGCUGGGCGCAGUGGCUUAUGCCUGUAAUCCCAGUACUUUGGGAGGCUGAGGCAGGAGGAUCACUUGAGGUCAGGAGGUUGAGACCAGCUUGGCCAACAUGGUGAAACCCUGUCUCUACUAAAAAUACAAAAAUGAGCUGGGCGCGGUGGCGGACGCCUGUAAUCCCAGCUACCUGGGAAGCUGAGGCAGGAG
rnacentral:lncRNA from 1 species